UCCGGUUUGUCACCGGCAGUCUCAUUAGAGUGCCCUUUCGUAGCAACUAAUGACAAGGGUUGCGCUCGUUGCGGGACUUAACCCAACAUCUCACGACACGAGCUGACGACAGCCAUGCAGCACCUGUGUGCAGGUUCUCUUUCGAGCACCAAUCCAUCUCUGGAAAGUUCCUGCCAUGUCAAGGGUAGGUAAGGUUUUUCGCGUUGCAUCGAAUUAAUCCACAUCAUCCACCGCUUGUGCGGGUCCCCGUCAAUUCCUUUGAGUUUUAACCUUGCGGCCGUACUCCCCAGGCGGUCAACUUCACGCGUUAGCUACGUUACCAAGGAAGUAAAUCCCCAACAACUAGUUGACAUCGUUUAGGGCGUGGACUAC
rnacentral:misc_RNA from 1 species